AAAAAAAGACGCGGGUCAUAUUUCGGGUCAAAAAAGGACUGGCCUCUCUUUUUCCUCUCUUUCUCCUAAAUCGCGAUUCUCUUUCACAGUUUCGCCGGACGAAAGAAGCUCUGGUAGCAAUUGUGACAGCAAUCUUGAGGAUACUAGCUGAAGAAUAGGCAAGACCAGAUCUGGUUUAGUGGUCUCUGUCCCUCUUUUGCCCAAGAAUCGCGACUCGCUUUCACAAGUCGUCGGAAAUAGCACAGCGAUAAACGGUCUCCGGCCGAAAACUCAUAGGAGUCUCCCUGAAUCUCGUGGUUUCUGUCUCCCAAGAACAUUCGCGAUUUAGGAGUCUCCCAAGGUAUUUUCUAUUAAUGAAAUCUAGGGUUUGGCAGUAAAUUUUGAUUUUUGGGUUCUGUCUAAGAAUUGCCAAAUUAUGUAGAUCUUUCUGUGAAUACCACCAACAUCGCACCUGGCCGGCCAAUCUCAUAUUAAUAUUUUUGUACCGAAAUUGCACCGCUUAAAAAAGCCAUAUACUACUAAUCUGGGCUGGGUUUUUAUUAGAGUCCAUUUUAAUGUUUGGGUUUGAAGUAAAAGUUUUAUCUGAAGGACAUAAGGCCAUCGGAUUGAAAAAGAAGUAGAGGACGGUUGGUUGCCUGGUUGGUGUGACAGAAGAAAUGGUGAAAGUAGGGACCUUCUUUGCAAUGUCUCUGGGUGCCUUUAUUUUCUGGGAAACCAUGGAUAAGGUCCACGUCUGGAUCGCUCUCCGACAGGACGAAAAGGUUCUCUCUUUAUCCUUUCCCCUUUCUUCUUCUUAUGUAUUAUCUAUAUUUGUGCAUCUGUUCCUGUUUUGUAAAUUUAGGGUUUUGUUAUGCACUCCGCAAUUAUAAACCAAAUUAGACUAAUAAGUUGACGCUGUGUUUAAGGGGAAGAAAGAUUAGCUCAAAAUUUCAACUUCCAACUUUACUGUUGCCUUUUUUGUUCGUUUUAUGUUGCCAACCAAUAGAUCAGCAAAAAGAACAACACCCUAGUCUGAAAGAGUUAUGCUGUGUUGAGGAGAUAUAGAAUUUCAUACGGUUAAAUUGUUACUUAGAAAUUCCAAAUAUAUGCAACUUCAUUGGACAGAUUUGGAUUUUGUUUAAGCAUACAGUGCCAAUUAUUGUGACGGAAAUGCCGAAAGCAUUGUUCAAGAAACCAAAAUUGAGGAACUAUUCUGCCUCUUCUGGUGAUUUGGAUACUAGGAAGAGUAAUGAAAAGCUUUUUAGACCAGUUUUUGGAGAAAGGAAUUUCAAUAAGGAACUCGGAUCUUUAGGUAAUGACACUUGAGAUAUAUCAUGGAAUUGAAGUAAUUUUUCUUUUCAAAAUUCUUAAUAUGAAUGGCUAAAAUAUUUAUGAUUAAGUAUUUCUAUUGCUUGGUUUCUCUUGUUAAUAUUGUUAUGCCUACAUAUACAUGAUUAUUGGUUCAACUGUUUGAUUUUGCUCGUCAAAAUUCUUAAUCCAAAUGCAUAUAUGUGUGUAUAGUAUAUGAUUUUUGAAGUGUCCACAAUUUUGAUGAACUUGAAUUUUAUUAGAAAUAGCCUAAGAAUUUGGCAGUGGAAUGUGUACUAGCCUACUAUGUGAGUUUUAAGCUUUUAGGCCUUCAUUAGUAUCUAGACUCUGUUGAGAACUCGAGAUACUUUUGUUUUGCAGAGAAGCAGCCAAGCAAACCUGGAGGACCAAUGGUGAAUUCGAAAUAGAGUGAUUACGCAAGGCAAACUGUUGACAUGGGGGCAUCCAAAUAGAGAGAUUACAUAACUCAAGAAGAUAGUGAUGAGUCUGAUGACAAUGACAAUCUUUCAGCAAAAGCGCCAUGGCAGGGAGAGGCCACAACAGUCAAAGGUGCAACUUCAAAAUGGAAUGAAUACAUUACAGAAGAUGAUAAUGAUGAUGACUUGAAGCUUCCUAUUAGAGCAGUAGUUAGAAUUGCUAAUGUGUGUAAACCAGUUCUUUACUACUUCAAUUUGCUAGAACUAGAAGGCGAAAUACAAACAAAAUUGUGUCAAUCACGUUUAUUAGAAGUGAGUGUUCCAAUUUUUAUCUUUUCUUGAUCUUGGUAAUUUACAUGGUUGUUUCAUGCUAUAAUACAAAGAUGAAAGGAUAUAAAGAUGAAAGGAUAUUUUCUAAGCUUAUUUCUUUGAAGAUUAUGCUACAAAGCGAAAUAUGCAGAAGUUUUCUUGAUUUUA
rnacentral:lncRNA from 1 species